UGCAGUCGAACGAUGAAGCCGGAGCUUGCUCUGGUGGAUUAGUGGCGAACGGGUGAGUAACACGUGAGUAACCUGCCCUUGACUCUGGGAUAAGCGUUGGAAACGACGUCUAAUACCGGAUACGAGCUGGGACCGCAUGGUCACCAGCUGGAAAGAACUUCGGUCAAGGAUGGACUCGCGGCCUAUCAGUUAGUUGGUGAGGUAACGGCUCACCAAGACGACGACGGGUAGCCGGCCUGAGAGGGUGACCGGCCACACUGGGACUGAGACACGGCCCAGACUCCUACGGGAGGCAGCAGUGGGGAAUAUUGCACAAUGGGCGCAAGCCUGAUGCAGCAACGCCGCGUGAGGGACGACGGCCUUCGGGUUGUAAACCUCUUUUAGCAGGGAAGAAGCGCAAGUGACGGUACCUGCAGAAAAAGCACCGGCUAACUACGUGCCAGCAGCCGCGGUAAUACGUAGGGUGCAAGCGUUGUCCGGAAUUAUUGGGCGUAAAGAGCUCGUAGGCGGUUUGUCGCGUCUGCUGUGAAAACCCGAGGCUCAACCUCGGGCCUGCAGUGGGUACGGGCAGACUAGAGUGCGGUAGGGGAGAUUGGAAUUCCUGGUGUAGCGGUGGAAUGCGCAGAUAUCAGGAGGAACACCGA
rnacentral:rRNA from 1 species